GCGCCCGUAGCUCAGUGGAUAGAGUGCCCGGCUACGAACCGGUAGGUCGCAGGUUCGAAUCCUGCUGGGCGCGCCA
rnacentral:tRNA from 1 species